rnacentral:rRNA from 1 species
AACCCUUGUCAUUAGUUGCCAUCAUUUGGUUUGGGCGACUCUAAUGAGACUGCCGGUGACAAACCGGAGGAAGGUGGGGAGUGACGUCAAGUCCUCAUGGCCCUUAUGGGUAGGGCGUUCACACGUCAUACAAUGGUCGGUACAGAGGGUUGGCCAACCCGCGAGGGGGAGGCUAAUCCCACAAAGCCGAUCGUAGUCCGGAUCGCAGUCUGCAACUCGACUGCGUGAAGUCAGAAUCGCUAGUAAUCGUGGAUCAGCAUGUCACGGUGAAUACGUUCCCGGGUCUU